AUCCAGCAGUAUCUGAAAUCUGGAACACAAAGUGAACUUUCUCCUUCACAGUGGUCUGCUCUGGUGUUUGUGUUACUGACAUCAGCACAGGAUCUGGAGGAAUUUGACCUGAAUAAAUACAUCACUCCAGAUAAGAUCAGAGAUGAGAUUCUUGUGAGAGUGAUGUCUGUGAUUGCAGGAUCCAGAAAAGCAAUUAUCAGAUGCAGUGAAAUUACAGGAGAAGUGGAGAAGCUCUGACCUCAGUGCUCAACUCAGAAACCUCCAGUCUGAGAGAACUGCAUCUGACUGUCAAUACACUGGAUCUGACCUGGAAUAAACUAGAAGACUCAGGAGUGAAGCGUCUCUCUGCUCUACUGGAGAAUCCUGAGUGUAAAGUGAAAGAUCUGAGGUUGUGUGAUUGUGGAGUAUCAGAUGAAGGCUGUGCUGCUCUCGCUUCAGCUCUGAGAUCA